AUUGUUCGCAAUGGGCGCAAGCCUGACGACGCAACGCCGCGUGGAGGAUGAAGGUCUUCGGAUUGUAAACUCCUGUUGAUCGGAAAGAACAGGCUUCAACCUAAUACGUUGGAGCACUGACGGUACCGGUUGAGGAAGCCACGGCUAACUCUUUGCCAGCAGCCGCGGUAAUACAGAGGUGGCAAGCGUUGUUCGGAAUUACUGGGCGUAAAGGGCGCGUAGGCGGCCUUCUAAGUCGGACGUGAAAUCCCCAGGCUUAACUUGGGAACUGCGUCCGAUACUGGAGGGCUUGAGUGCGGGAGAGGGAUGUGGAAUUCCGGGUGUAGCGGUGAAAUGCGUAGAUAUCCGGAGGAACACCGGUGGCGAAGGCGGCUUCCUGGACCGAUUACUGACGCUGAGGCGCGAAAGCUAGGGGAGCAAAC
rnacentral:rRNA from 1 species